CAAACAAUGUUUUCAUUUCAUUAGGAACGAAAAAAGCAAAUACGACCAUCAUGGGAUUCGGAGUGUCUCUUGAAGUUGCAUUUUUUUUCACAGCAAUCGUUGUGGUACUUUUUACGAGAUCCCACUCGAGGUAUUCAUCGUUUGAAUUCUACACUAAUCAGAAUGAUCGCGUCCAUCUCCAGCCGAACUACUCGCAACUUGAUCUGACAGAUGAAAAUAAAGAACUCUCCGGAGCCCAAAAGAAAGAAGUGAACUUGGAUUGCAUUCCCUUGCCAAAGCGUUUCGAUUUUGAAGAAUUAUCAGUUAUCUUGUCACCCGAUAUAUUCGUACAAACUGAUCUCCUCGAUUAUAUUAUCGAUAAAACAAUGACAAUAUCUAAAAAUUCCUAUCCCUAUCUGCAUUUCAUAAUUAGGGACGCUUUGAAAAACAACCUACUACCUUCGUGUUACAUCCCAUAUGCUAAAUUACUAACGUCGUUCCUGCGGUGUUGGAUGCAUAUAUGCAAUGCAUAUGCAUCAACACUAGGAGUUAGAAGAAAAUAUUUCAUUAACGAGGACGGUUCUAAUGCGUUACUACCACCAGAAAUUUCCUGGUCACCCGCAUUAUCCAAAGUAUUUUCCUCGGAUAUUUUUCACGAUCCUAAACCUCCGAGGCUUCUUUUUCAUAAAUUUUUAAAAAUGUCGAGCAGGGAAAUUAUGGUUUUAAAAAUUCAGUUGAAAGGGUUCAUUCAAAAGUGGUGGGGGAAAGGUCAGAGAGAUACCUAUUCCGUUUCCUGAUUGUUAUGUCUGGUUUCUUCACAGCAUAUUUGAACUUUUAUUUGUUGAAGAAAAUUCGCUGGAGAAUUUUAAACGUGAUAUGGUUGAAAUUCAACGGAUUAUUUAACGGAUUCAAAAUGAUUUUGAAAUGUUAAUAUAGGUAAGUAAAUAGGUACCGGAUACCUACCCACGUGUACGCCUGAGUUAUUUAUAAGCACGUAGGUACAUAUUUGCACAGGUAGUUAGAUACAUUCAAUGCACUAAAUAAUUUCGCAAUAAACUUUUAAAAAACA